rnacentral:lncRNA from 1 species
GGACAGACACAGAAAGAAAACCUUUGGAACAGGAAAAGAAGAGCUCUUUUGACAAAGCAAAGGAGGAUCACAGAGUUCCAGCCCUGGGGGCUGCGUCUGGGGGUUUCCUGGCAUUAGAGGAGCUGAUGGUGAAUUUUCCCUCAACCAUCACCGGCAAUGUGAAACUCAGUGGAGCUCCCUGUUCCCACAGGGUCACAUUCAAGCACAAUUCAAAUAUGAAUACAGUAAAAUCAUGAGAUCCCAGCUACUCUCAACAAGGC